rnacentral:rRNA from 1 species
GAUGAACGCUGGUGGCGUGCUUAACACAUGCAAGUCGAACGGAAAGGCCACAGCUUGCUGUGGUACUCGAGUGGCGAACGGGUGAGUAACACGUGGGUGAUCUGCCCUGUACUUCGGGAUAAGCUUGGGAAACUGGGUCUAAUACCGGAUAGGAAUCACAUGUGGGUGUGUGGUUGGAAAGCUUUUGCGGUAUGGGAUGAGCUCGCGGCCUAUCAGCUUGUUGGUGGGGUAAUGGCCUACCAAGGCGUCGACGGGUAGCCGGCCUGAGAGGGUGUACGGCCACAUUGGGACUGAGAUACGGCCCAGACUCCUACGGGAGGCAGCAGUGGGGAAUAUUGCACAAUGGGCGCAAGCCUGAUGCAGCGACGCCGCGUGGGGGAUGACGGCCUUCGGGUUGUAAACUCCUUUCGUCAGGGACGAAGCGAAAGUGACGGUACCUGGAGAAGAAGCACCGGCUAACUACGUG